AUUGAACGCUGGCGGCAGGCCUAACACAUGCAAGUCGAGCGGGGGUAGCAAUACCCUAGCGGCGAACGGGUGAGGAAUGCUUGGGAAUCUGCCUGGUAGUGGGGGAUAACGUUCCGAAAGGAACGCUAAUACCGCAUACGUCCUACGGGAGAAAGGGGGGGAUCUUCGGGCCUCUCGCUAUCAGAUGAGCCCAAGCGGGAUUAGCUAGUUGGUGAGGUAAAGGCUCACCAAGGCGACGAUCCCUAGCUGGUCUGAGAGGAUGAUCAGCCACACUGGAACGGAGACACGGUCCAGACUCCUACGGGAGGCAGCAGUGGGGAAUAUUGGACAAUGGGCGAAAGCCUGAUCCAGCCAUGCCGCGUGUGUGAAGAAGGCCUUCGGGUUGUAAAGCACUUUAAGCGAGGAGGAAGGUUCGUCACCUAAUACGUGACGGAAUUGACGUUACUCGCAGAAUAAGCACCGGCUAACUCUGUGCCAGCAGCCGCCGUAACAC
rnacentral:rRNA from 1 species